rnacentral:lncRNA from 1 species
AUGGACAGAAUCUGCAGAUCCCAGCGCCAGGCGGUCAAGUCCACUUGCCCUCCCUUAGGUGACAGAGGGAGAGGUUCACGUCCAGGCAACAGUGGAAAGAGCCAGUGCAGGUGGCACCCAGGCAUCCCGCCCCCGUCAGCCCCAGCCCCAGGCUGCCCACGCACGCACAUUCUCGCCCAAACCCCCGUCGACACGGUAACCUCCAGAGAGAGAGAUUCCCUGGGGAACGAAGAUGCUCACCAGGGCCACAGGUGCCCUCGCAGACAGCAGCAGAGCCAAGGAGGCUGCAGACGGGGGCUUUUCAGAGGCUGUAUGAGUAGAGCUGCAUGAGCUGCCCUUGGACUUUGAUUCUCCCGCCUCAGCCUGCCAGUGGCUGGGAUCACAAGCGUGGGCCUCUGCACCCGGGUUAGGUGUAUCAUUGUUGUGGGGCAUUGCGGCCUCCAGGAAUUCACCGUGGAGACUUAGGAACCUGCUCCCACAUGUGUGCGGGUGCAAAUGCAGGUGUGGACAUCGAGGCAGGCGUGCAGAUAUGCAGGUAGCAACCUAAGCGUGGCCAGCCCUGCCCCCAGGUACCCCCCAGCCUACUCCCCCUGCCAGCCAGGCCCGAGCCACAUCUGGAGCUCACUUCCUCUGCUGUCCACCCCACCUGGUACCCCCACAUGGUGUGAGGCUUUCUUGUGGGGACCUGUGAGUGACAAGCUAGCUUUGCCUGAUCUGGUGACCACACCACACCUGAAUCACAAUAAACUGCACAACACAACAGGCCAGCGGUGAGGAAGCGCCGUGUCCUGUGGGUGCUAGUUCCAGUGGGAAGCACUCGGGGCCACAGUGCGGUUCACAGUGUGGUUCUCUGCCUGCUUCCACUCCUCAGCCCGGAGCUCACAGGCCCACCAGCCCUGGUGAGCAGCUGUCCGGGACAUGGCCAUCCCUACUGCAGGUGGCAGAGGGCUUUAGGUUAGGGUUGGGUCCAGGGCUGCCCUCCCGGGUCAGAGGCCCCGGAGAGCCCUCUGCAUGCUGGGUGAGAGGACGUAGUUCCUUAGCCACAAGAGGCCUGAGCCCCAUCACCGUGGGUGCCAGUGCUGCCUGGCUCCAAGGGCCACCCUGUGGAGAGCCUGUGUGCCAGCCAGCCCUCCCUCCUUGACUGGGGGACCCCUCUCCCUGUGAUAUUGUCCUUGCAGGAGAACAGGACUGGCUGGUGCCCACAGUGUGGGGUUCAUUGGGACUCUUGCUCUAUCCCAGCAGGACAUCCCUCCCUCAGACCACAGGACCCUACCCCAGACCUCAGUGCUCUCAAUUUCCCUCCCCAGGCAGCCACUGCCUCCAGCACUCUGUCCCCCAGGAUGGCCCAUGGCAGCGGCCUCUGAAGAGCCGCCCUGGAGAUGGGCAGAGUCUGGAGCAGGUGACCACACCCAUCCCGGGGAGGGACAGCAAUGGGCCAGGUGGGGCAGCACCAUGGGCCAGCAGUGAGCCACAGAUCUGGGCAAAUGAGGAAUUAGCCCCAUCCCUGCUGGGGUCUGGGCUCUGCACCCCGAGUUACUCAGCUGUUCAGUCAGGACCCCUUGGGGGGCAGGCACCUGAGCUCCCUCCCCCAAGCCGAAGGAAAGGCUGCUGGUGGCAGGAAGAGUGGCCAGCGAAUGGCCACCCCCACAGGUCAGGGGGCCAGGGUGGCACUCAGGGCAAGAGGGAUCACCGGGAGAGACAGAAAAAACACGGGGCAAAAACCAGCGACUCACAUGGUAGAAUUAUUGCAGAGAGCUAAGUUACUUAGAUAUUAUUAUACGGCAGUUGGACAAAGCUGGGCCCUCAGCACAGAAAAGCAACUGAGGCAAAUUCACUGGUUAGCACUGUAAAAAGAAGAGGUGCUGCCUGCCCUAGAGAUGAGUAGCAGUGAUUGACAUUCUAAAUAGACAUCAUCUCCCUGGCCCAUUUCCUUUCCAGAAAUUCCUCGUACCUAACUUGUUUUCCCAUUGGAUCCCCAUUUAAUCAAUAUUACCUGCGUGACUGUGCUUGUAAUCUUAUUGAUUCAUCAUGGUUUUGCCCCACCUUAUGCCCACCUUGUAAUUUUCCAUUGUAAAAUUUUCCAUUUUACAGUUUUGUCCCACUUUGUACCAGCCUCACCUCGUGGCUUUGCCCAAUGAAACAGCUCUGAAAAGCUGGGUGGGCAGGCAACCCACUUUCCGGUUCCCCACUGUCUCUCUUAAAAUCUAUCUUUCUCUCAAUAAAUUUUUCCUACUCUUAACCUCUGUUGUUCCCAGAAUUUAUUCUUCAGUUUUAGAGAACACAAACGAGCUUCAGAUAUCUAGCAGGUUUCAG